rnacentral:rRNA from 1 species
CCCUACGGGGGGCAGCAGUAGGGAAUCUUCCACAAUGGGCGAAAGCCUGAUGGAGCAACGCCGCGUGGGUGAAGAAGGUCUUCGGAUCGUAAAACCCUGUUGUUAGAGAAGAAAGUGCGUGAGAGUAACUGUUCACGUUUCGACGGUAUCUAACCAGAAAGCCACGGCUAACUACGUGCCAGCAGCCGCGGUAAUACGUAGGUGGCAAGCGUUAUCCGGAUUUAUUGGGCGUAAAGGGUGCGCAGGCGGUUGAGUAAGACA